AUGAACGCUGCCAGAAUGCUUAACACAUGCAAGUCGAUGGGGAAGUGGUGCUUGCACCAUGGCAACCAUGGCGGACGGGUGAGUAACGCGUAAGGGACUUACCUGCAGGACUGGGAUAACAGGGGGAAACUCCUGACAAGACCGGAUAAUGUCAUGGAGCUGCAUGGCUUUAUGAUGAAAGGAGACGCCUGCGGAGAGCCUUGCGUCCUAUUAGCUAGUUGGUGAGGUAAUGGCUCACCAAGGCGAAGAUAGGUAGCCGGCCUGAGAGGGUGGACGGCCACAAGGGGACUGAGAUACGGCCCUUACUCCUACGGGAGGCAGCAGUGGGGAAUAUUGGACAAUGGGGGCAACCCUGAUCCAGCAAUUCUGUGUGCACGAAGAAGGUUUUCGGAUUGUAAAGUGCUUUCAGCAGGGAAGAAGUAAGUGACGGUACCUGCAGAAGAAGCGACGGCUAAAUACGUG
rnacentral:rRNA from 1 species